rnacentral:misc_RNA from 1 species
GAUGAAGAACGCAGCGAAACGCGAAAGGUAAUGCGAAUUGCAGAAUCAGUGAGUCAUCGAAUCUUUGAACGCACAUUGCGCCCCUUGGUAUUCCGGGGGGCACGCCUGUUCGAGCGCCAUUACACACCCCAAGCUAAGCUUGAUGUUGGGCGAUGUCUGUCACAGGACACGCCUGGAACGUAUGGGCGCCGCCGCCUGAUCACGAGUGUAGCAAGACGCAAGUCAUCGCUCGGUCGGUCCUGGCGGUUGGCCGCCGCGGCUCAUGGUAACACAUGGGCCAGUAACUUUUCACAAGUUUGGCCUCGAAUCAGGCGGGGAUACCCGCUGAACUUAAGCAUAUCAAUAAGCGGAGGA